rnacentral:sRNA from 1 species
AAAUGCUAAAGAAAAAUCGCCGUUAAAGCAGUUUUCUUUUUCACUGUCUUUUUCUUUUCGCGGGGAACCGAGCUGUUCCUGCGAGGGCCACCUCCUCAGGAAAACCCCGCAGCUCUCCCGAGGCGCUUCUGCAGGAGGCAGCGACAGUUUUGAGAACCCGGGCCUUCCCCUCCCAGUGCCUCCGGGGGUUCCGGCGUUUCAGGCGCAGCUGUUUUCCGGGAAGGGCAGGCGCGCUGGGCCUUGGGGAGCUGCGCUCGGCGGGCGGACGCGGGGAAUCAUGGAAGCUGAUAAAGACGACACACAACAAAUUCUUAAGGAGCAUUCGCCAGAUGAAUUUAUAAAAGAUGAACAAAAUAAGAUUAAAGAGGAUAUUCCUGAAACAAAGAUGAAAUUCUUAUCAGUUGAAACUCCUGAGAAUGACAGCCAGUUGUCAAAUAUCUCCUGUUCGUUUCAAGUGAGCUCGAAAGUUCCUUAUGAGAUACAAAAAGGACAAGCACUUAUCACCUUUGAAAAAGAAGAAGGUAUGACUAAUGUUAAAAAAUAUGACCAUGUUAUUUGGAAAGCACUUUCAUAGACAUUUAGCUAUUACUUCGCUAAUAUUACUUCACUUAUUUCUUAUCCUCAUAGUGACGUUCUGAGGCAGGUAUGAUUAUUCCCAUUUUACAGAUGAGAAAACUGACUCUGAGACAAGUGCCUUGAAUAUGAUCUCGUAUUCAGAAAGCCAUGACUGUGGGACUUAAAUCCAGGUGCUAUGAUGAUGUCCAAUACCAGCCUCUUUCUACUCCACAUGCUACCUCCAAAUAAUGAUAGUAAUAUUUCAAGGUAGUAGAGCUGUACAGUUCUCAGAGACAUUAUCACAUUUUAUACUCACACAAUUCCAUAAAUAUAGGAGGAUAGGAUAGUUAUUAUUGUGUACUUUAAAUAUAGACAUGCCAGAGCCAAGAAAACAGAUUCUGAGGAUGUUUAAGUGAUUUACCUAAGGGCACAUAGCUCACAAAUGAGAAGAGCCUGGGAGUUAGAGAUUUGGAAUGAAACCUAAUGUUUGCUAAGUCUGCCAUGGUGAGGGCCCCUGUUCAGAGCUGGAGGUUCCUGAGUGGGGAGGAUCUGGCUUUGAGUGCCAGCCUUGUCCCUUCCUAGAAGCAUGAUUUGGGAUAGGUUCUUUAUAACCUCAGGGUUUUAUACAGGUGCUUCAUGGUAGUACCUACUUCAUGAGGCUGCUUUGAGUAUUAAAUGAGAAAUGUUGAUAAAAUACUUAGCACAAUGUUGGACACUUAAUACAAACUUAAUGGAUGUUAGUUUUUGCUACAUGUUAGGAAUUUUUCAGAUAAGGAUACAGAAGCUUGAAGAAGAUAAUUAACUUGCUUAAAGUCUAUACGGUUAGUUGCAGAGCUUAGAGCCAAACCCUGAGAGUCUAUGUACUUCCACUGGGCCAAUAUUUCUCUCGGUAGGCCACCAGCCCAGGCCUUUGUUCUUUUAUUUAAGUUACGUGGUGAGGGACCAGAUGGUGUUCCCAGCCCUUCCAGUGCUCAUAUUCUGACAGUCUACAACCCAUGUUUCCUCAAAACUGGUGCACCACUGUAGCCUGAAAAUAAAUGUUGAAAGGCAUUCCAGCAGGACAGUAUCUGCGCGUAGAAGACAUGCAUCGCCAGUGUGUUUUCCUUCACCCUGGAGCUACUGCUACAGGUAGAAGAGGAGUCCAGGACUCAUAUUGGCGACUGGUAAUCGGGAUAUAACUAAAAGAUAGAUAUAAAUGAGGAUUUGGGAGGCAGGGUUUCUGCACAGCAAUUUCCUGGGAAUGUUGGAAAUGGAAUUCUCUAAAAGCACCUACAUCAUUGCUUCUACGCUUGACGUGGCUCUGAGCUCCCGAUCUCCUGGGACAGCAGUAGGUUUGAAACACAAUUAAGUAGGAGUUGGCUCUUGAUUGUCAGAGUCACAAAAGUUGAAACACAAGCGGUCCCUCUCAGCUGUAUCAGAUCACCAGAUGUUGGGGGUUUGUGGAAGAGUGGGAGGGAAAGAGGAUCAUCUGAGUAUUACUCAUUGAUAUUUUCUGUUAUUGUCUGUUGUCAUUAGCAAAAAAACACAAAAACAC